CCACUCCUUCUGGUCUCG
rnacentral:snRNA from 1 species